GCAGAGUAGGUACGGCGCGUAAAGUGUCGGGGAAUGGGAAGUUGACCCCGAACGAAGGGCUUGCCGCCCGCGGUUCCGUAUCGCAUCCGCUGC
rnacentral:ncRNA from 1 species